UACAGAGGGUGCAAGCGUUAAUCGGAAUUACUGGGCGUAAAGCGUGCGCAGACGGUUGCGUAAGUCAGAUGUGAAAGCCCCGGGCUCAACCUGGGAAUUGCAUUUGAGACUGCGUAGCUAGGGUGCGGAAGAGGGAAGCGGAAUUUCCGGUGUAGUGGUGAAAUGCGUAGAGAUUGCCAGGAACACCAAUGGCGAAGGCAGCUUGCUGGGCUACUCCUGACACUGAGGUACGAAAGCUAGGGGAGCAAACAGG
rnacentral:rRNA from 1 species